UUCGAAUCGGUGAGCUUGUGAGCCCUAGCAAACGGAUCCCGGGGGGCUUGUUGUUCAACGAUGUGUCGGUGGUGUCGGAUUUAGUGCGUUUUUUGGUACGAAGGUCCAAAACCGACAUCUUCGGCAAAGGGGCAUGGGUUACCCUCCGCGCUAUUCCGGGUUCGGCUGUCUGCCCUGUCGCAUCUUUUCAGUCUUAUUGUCUUGGUCGCCCGGACAUUGAGGGCCCUCUACUAAUUCAUGGGGACGGUUCCUUCCUUUCUCGGUUCCAAUUUCUUCGGGUCUUUCGGUUGGCACUCGACCAACUGGGUAUUUCGAGUGCAGACUUUGGGGGACAUUCUUUUCGAAUUGGGGCCGCAACUGAAG